AUACCACUGCAUAAGGAGGUCACAUAUGAGUUUCAUCUCCGCAUAAACAGUAUAUUGCAAUUACAUCCACUUAUGCAAGACCUUAACAGGAGAAUCAACUGUUGAAACUAUAAUUGCCUGUGAUCACUUCUAUUACUAUCCUUCUCAACAUCAAUCAGUUGUUGUUGUACAUCAUCUUGCAAGUUACUUUCUUCAUUAGUAUUCUCCAAGUCUGUUAAA